rnacentral:rRNA from 1 species
AUUGAACGCUGGCGGCAGGCCUAACACAUGCAAGUCGAGCGGAUGAAGGGAGCUUUCUCCUGGAUUCAUCGUCGGACUGGUGUGUAAUGCCUAUGAAUCUGCCUUGUUGUGUGUGAUUACGUCCGUAUACGGGCUCUUAUACCGCAUACGUCCUGCUGUUGAAAGUUGGGGUUCUUCGGUCCUCUCGCUUUCUGCUGUGCCUAGGUCGGAUUAGCUAGUUGGUUGGGUAAAGGCCUACCAAGGCGACGAUCCGUAACUGGUCUGAGAGGAUGAUCAGUCACACUGGAACUGAGACACGGUCCAGACUCCUACGGGAGGCAGCAGUGGGGAAUAUUGGACAAUGGGCGAAAGCCUGAUCCAGCCAUGCCGCGUGUGUGAAGAAGGUCUUCGGAUUGUAAAGCACUUUAAGUUGGGAGGAAGGGCAGUAAGUUAAUACCUUGCUGUUUUGACGUUACCAACAGAAUAAGCACCGGCUAACUUCGUG